UACGUAGGGUGCAAGCGUUAAUCGGAAUUACUGGGCGUAAAGCGUGCGCAGGCGGCUUUGCAAGACAGAUGUGAAAUCCCCGGGCUUAACCUGGGAAUUGCAUUCGUGACUGCACGGCUAGAGUGUGUCAGAGGGGGGUAGAAUUCCACGUGUGAGCAGUGAAAUGCGUAGAUAUGUGGAGGAAUACCGAUGGCGAAGGCAGCCCCCUGGGAUAACACUGACGCCUGCAUGCACGAAAGCGUGGGGA
rnacentral:rRNA from 1 species